rnacentral:rRNA from 1 species
CCUACGGGUGGCAGCAGUAGGGAAUCUUCCCCAAUGGGCGAAAGCCUGAUGGAGCAACGCCGCGUGGGUGAAGAAGGUCUUCGGAUCGUAAAACCCUGUUGUUAGAGAAGAAAGUGCGUGAGAGUAACUGUUCACGUUUCGACUGUAUCUAACCAGAAAGCCACGGCUAACUACGUGCCAGCAGCCUCGGUAAUACGUAGGUGGCAAGCGUUAUCCGGAUUUAUUGAGCGUAAAGGGAACGCAGGCGGUCUUUUAAGUCUGAUGUGAAAGCCUUCGGCCUAACCGGAGUAGUGCAUUGGAAACUGGGAGACGUGAGUGCAGAAGAGGAGAGUGGAACUCCAUGUGUAGCGGUGAAAUGCGUAGAUAUAUGGAAGAACACCAGUGGCGAAAGCGGCUCUCUGGUCUGUAACUGACGCUGAGGUUCGAAAGCGUGGGUAGCAAACAGGAUUAGAUACCCCUGUAGUC